rnacentral:rRNA from 1 species
CAGUCGCCGCGGUAACACGAAGGGGGCUAGCGUUGUUCGGAAUUACUGGGCGUAAAGCGCACGUAGGCGGAUAUUUAAGUCAGGGGUGAAAUCCCAGAGCUCAACUCUGGAACUGCCUUUGAUACUGAAAGUCUUGAGUAUGGGAGAGGUGAGUGGAACUGCGAGUGUAGAGGUGAAAUUCGUAGAUAUUCGCAAGAACACCAGUGGCGAAGGCGGCUCACUGGCCCAUAACUGACGCUGAGGCACGAAAGCGUGGGGAGCAAACAGGAUUAGAUACCCGAGUAGUCCCUGUCUCUUAUAC